GGGUAUGUGCUUUGUGCGUUUUGCUUUGCAAAGGCAAAAUAUGGUGUGGUUUCACUCGUGCCUU
rnacentral:tRNA from 1 species